rnacentral:rRNA from 1 species
UACGUAGGGUGCGAGCGUUAAUCGGUAUUACUGGGCGUAAAGCGUGCGCAGGCGGUUCGUUGUGUCGGCGGUGAAAGCCCCGGGCUUAACCUGGGAAUGGCCGUUGAAACUGGCGAACUGGAGUGUGGCAGAGGGGGGUGGAAUUCCGCGUGUAGCAGUGAAAUGCGUAGAGAUGCGGAGGAACACCGAUGGCGAAGGCAGCCCCCUGGGCUAACACUGACGCUCAGGCACGAAAGCGUGGGGAGCAAACAGG